rnacentral:rRNA from 1 species
UACGGAGGGGCGAGCGUUAUUCGGAAUUAUUGGGCGUAAAGGGCGCGUAGGCGGUCCGACAAGUCAAAGGUGAAAUCCCUCGGCUCAACUGAGGAACUGCCUUUGAAACUGUCGGACUUGAGGCCGGGAGGGGGUAGCGGAAUUCCCAGUGUAGCGGUGAAAUGCGUAGAUAUUGGGAGGAACACCAGUGGCGAAGGCGCUACCUGGACCGGUUCUGGACGCU